rnacentral:rRNA from 1 species
UACAGAGGGUGCAAGCGUUGCUCGGAUUUACUGGGCGUAAAGCGUACGCAGACGGUAAGGUAGGUCGGAUGUGAAAGCCCUGGGCUCAACCCAGGAACUGCAUCCGAAACCCCCUUGCUAGAGUAUGAGAGAGGGAAGCGGAAUUCCUGGUGUAGAGGUGAAAUUCGUAGAUAUCAGGAGGAACAUCAGCGGCGAAGGCGGCUUCCUGGCUCAUUACUGACGUUCAGGUACGAAAGCGUGGGUAGCAAACAGG